GUUAUUUCUUUGAAAUCAGUGUUAAAAGACCCACUGUAUAAAGUGGUCCAACAGCGACGAAAACUUCAGAAGCUAGAGGGUUCCGGAAUAUCUCUCCAGGGUGAUCAAACGAAAUAGAGGAUUAAAAGUAAUCCGACCUUGCAGGACCCCUAUCUGUCUAAUCGAAAUUUUACAGAUGACUAUGGAGUGCGCUAUUCCUAACAGGAAUGAUAUUGGCCGCCUAGAAAAAAUGAAGUUUUCGAGCAAAUUUAAAAUCUAGUUAAAGAGAUAAUUACACUUAUCGCUUCCAUGGUCGCAAAUCAGUUUAUGCGUAUACAGCGGUGAUAUGACACGUAUGAAAGAUUAACCGGUGAGGUCUACGGCAAAUGAUAAUACGUAUGGAUGUCACAUAUACACAGCACAUCUAACUCCGUAGCCAUCAGCAGACUCUGCCGAAACUGCACAUUGUACAAGUAAAUAUACACGUGAUUGCGACCGGUCACAUUUUUGGACGAUGCCAUCAAUAUAACUAGCAACGGAAUAAAAUUCAUUAACUUCUAGCAAGAGAAAAAGCACCAGAACCUUGUGCUCGAUAAAUAUGUUGGAGAAACGCUGAAGAUAUCUACGAAGAUAUUUUCUGGUAGCUUCUGAAGCGACACUGCAAAAUGGUCUUAGCGUCUGUCUAGGAAAGAAAACAAAAUUUACGGAAAGAAGUUACGGAAUAUAUACAGCAUUCUAGCGUACUGCGGCUUUGUCAUACACAAGUUAAGUAGUCGCAGCGUUACGUUAUGAUCAUGACAUAAUUUUUUGUAUAGAUUCGCUAGUAAUAAUUAAUAACAAUUGUUCAACAAACUAAUCAUUGUUUUGGUUCUAGGUAACAUACUUACCUGGAACUAUGCAAGGUUAUACCUGGCGUCUUCGCUGUUGGAUCUGAUUAAUCGUACAUGGAAAAUUUUUAUUCUGAAAACCGGAUAUGUCUAGAGUCAUCAGAAACAGAAUGUUUGAUACAUUUUCUGCUUUUUAUAAACGAAGUAGAAGGCACUAACUCAAACGUCUUUGUGAAGUGUAGGCGCAAUAUAAACACUGAGAAAAUACAUCCUGGGGAUAUGUUGGACCUCUAAGGUAAAAUAUGCUUGACCUUUUCCAUAGUAUUAAAAAGUAGUUGGUACUACGAACAGUAUCACGAUGAAUCAGGAAUUGAGCCAUUUUUAUGUGGCAAGUCAGAUGUAUGCUGAAAUGGGACGUCGUUGACUUGUGUAUUCAUUAACAGCAAAGCGAACCUAUAAAUACCAUCACAAAAUACACUUUUGACCAGGGCUAGCAAAAUCAACUCAAAUUGGAUGAGUGCAAGGUAUUUAUAAUGCCAAAUGUUAUUAUUUGCUAUUUAUAAGUACCAAAUGGUCGAAGGGGAUUACGAAAAAACGAGGAAUUUAAAAGGAAAAAAAGUCAAUUUGCCCCCCGCUUGGUAUUUCGAAAUGGAAUAAGUAUAAUCGAAAUCAUCUCUAGAGUGCUAUGAACACGACCUUUAACGAUACCAAUUUUGCUAAGAAACGUUAACCUUGGCAAAAAGCUACAUAUCAACACAGUGUUUUUGUUUACACUUCUCAUCGUAUCUGUAUUAAAGGCACACACGUGCGAUGAUACGGUAAAUUCCAACUAUGCACAUUCUGGUAUUUGUUGAAUAAGUGAUUAACAUUUAUUCGAAGUGUGAGCCGUGUAAAUAUCAACGUUGUUUCAGGUGGUAUUGCUACGUGCGCGAAUUUUCAAACGAGGUGUAAAACAUUAUCAACGGUAUAGUUUAUACUAGGCCUUUAAGGGCUAGUAGUUCGUCACCGCUCCAAACGUCUGGCUAUUAUCACAAAGGGCCUUGGUUGUCCUUCAUACGCGUUCAACAAGUAUAUUACUCCUUCGAUAUGCCUUACUGUAUCUUUCUUUGUAAGUUUGAGUAUCGAGUGCAAGAAGUCGUAAAUUUUUGUCUAACCGUAAAGGUUACUAUACGCAACAGA